CCUUGCAUCUCUGGAUUUUCACUUAAGGUUUUCAACUCAGCAAGAGGAUCAGAAUUUGAAAUACAUCGGGAGGAAGCAUUACCUGGUGCUCUGCUAGAGGCCCUCUAAAGACCGCAAGUACAAAGGAUGCAUGAUGCACUGUUGAUUCUCUAAGGCAGAAGAAAAAUUAUUGAACAACAAUUCCAUGCAAUCCAAGAGACUUUACCAGAGGGGAUGCAACGCUGGAUGUGAUGGUCACCAGCAUAAGGGAGCAAAUCAGGUACUUCAAGUCUGAAGGCAUCCUGGUGGAGUUGGUGGAGUUUUCAGUCCUAAAGGAUAUGAGUUGGGUAAGGAUUAGAGUUUGCACUUUAGGAAAGCAAAUUUCUACUAGCUUUUUAAGGAGAUAGUCAGCUGGAUCCCCUGAGAGACUGCCUUCAGGGUCAAGGGAGUGAAAUAGAGCUGGCAGAUACAUAAGGAUGUCUUCAGUAAAGUGCAAGAAGUCACAGUUCUGAGAACCAAGAAAUUGGGCAAGGAAGGCAAGAGACUGGAAUGGCUGAGUAGGGAACUGCUGGUCAGACUGAAGGGAA